rnacentral:lncRNA from 1 species
AUCGAUCACAAAUUAUAAAAUCAGUUAGUCACAAUUCAUUUAUAAAUUACAAAUCACAAAUUUUAUAAGUCACGCUUACAAAUUAUCAUUUACAGGUCAAUUAUUGGUCACAAUCUCAAAUAAUUACCACUAGAUCUAUCAAACAUUGUCAGAUCCACCACCAUCAAUCAAACAAAACCCACCACGAUCGCCAAAUCUACCACUAUCACCACUAACAAAAAUUGAAGCCAAAUCACUUCAGAGAAACACCACAAAUUGGUAAAACAUUACAAAUCGGAGAAAUUUUCAGAUCGUCGUUGCGUUGCAUUGCGUAGUUGCUGCACCUUCGAUGCCUCAUUGGUACAGAUCGUCGUAAGGAACAGCGCCACUACCUCCUACGCGACCACCAUUUGAAAACCAUCAACCAUGACCAACAAACCACACAAAACAUUGACUAAGGAGCAAAUCAGAAAGAUACAAUUCAAAAAAAUCGAGUAGAUAGUGAUAUCGCUAUUCAUUGACGCCUAAUCUGCUGUUGUACAGCGACUGCUGCUAGGCAGAUCAUCAUCACCUGAUCUACCACUAGGCAGUGGAUGUGCUGCAAUAGAUAAUCACUGUCGUAUAGCACCGAUGCGCGUUGGCCCUUGCCCUUAUUGCUUCAGAAUGAGGCCAUCGUGAGUGUUGCUCCGACUUGCCUCUGUGAUGGUGUGUGAUAAAAAUAAAGAAGAGGACAGGGAGAGGAUAGAGAGAUUAGGGCUUGUAAUGAAAUUUGGUGGGGGUGAAAGGAGG